rnacentral:tRNA from 1 species
UCUAAAAUGGCAGAGAGCCCAUGCGUAAGACUUAAGAUCUUAAAACAAGGUUUAACCUUUUUUAGAA